GGGUAAAUAGCUCAGUUGGAUAGAGCAACUACCUUCUAAGUAGUCGGUCGGGGGUUCGAGUCCCUCUUUACCCA
rnacentral:tRNA from 1 species